AUAGUUUGAUCCUGGCUCAGGACGAACGCUGGCGGCGUGCUUAACACAUGCAAGUCGAACGGGGCGUUUAUUUCGGUAAACGCCAAGUGGCGAACGGGUGAGUAACGCGUAAGCAAUCUGCCUUCAAGAUGGGGACAACACCGCGAAAGUGGUGCUAAUACCGAAUGAAGGUGAAAAAGUCGCAUGACGGUUUCACUAAAGGAGGCCGAAAGGCUUCCGCUUGAAGAUGAGCUUGCGUCUGAUUAGCUGGUUGGCGAGGGUAAAGGCCCACCAAGGCGACGAUCAGUAGCCGGUCUGAGAGGAUGAACGGCCACAUUGGGACUGAGACACGGCCCAGACUCCUACGGGAGGCAGCAGUGGGGAAUAUUCCGCAAUGGGCGAAAGCCUGACGGAGCAACGCCGCGUGAACGAAGAAGGUCUUAGGAUCGUAAAGUUCUGUUGUUAGGGGCGAAGGGUGCUGUUUUGAAUAAGGGCGGCAUUUGACGGUACUUAACGAGGAAGCCACGGCUAACUACGUGCCAGCAGCCGCGGUAAUACGUAGGCGGCAAGCGUUGUCCGGAAUUAUUGGGCGUAAAGGGAGCGCAGGCGGGAGAUUAAGCGGACUUUAAAAGUGCGGGGCUCAACCCCGUGAGGGGGUCCGAACUGGUCUUCUUGAGUGCAGGAGAGGGAAGCGGAAUUCCU
rnacentral:rRNA from 1 species